CGAAGUUCAGCUAUCUCACUGGCAUCAUCAGAGCGGCUUAUAAGACGGUCCUUGAAUCGGAAACAUAUCUGCAAUAGAGCUGAUCGAUAAGUGCUCCAAUUUUGGAAUGAUUCUUCUGGUAAGAAUUCAUCUUUGCCCCAUCUCCAGUAGGUUCUAUGUUGGAGCUCAUCACCUUGUUCUCCUAUGGAACUCAUUGCCUUGUUUCCUUGUUUCUCACAGGUGCUUUUUUUUGGGUGUAAACUACUUAAAAUUCAGUUAUUGAUUGUUGCAGCCAUGAUUUUGGGAUCCCUGACACGGUGGUUGACUUGACGUUGAAGAUUAAGACAAAAAUGGGCUGUCUCUAUACUCCGCCAUUGUCACUACAACGUGCCUGACAACGUACUGAUCUUUUGGACUGUUACCAAGUGUGAGGCCUCCAUUUCGUCCACUGGCCACUGCCACACAGCAUUAAAGUAAGAGAUGCAAGGUCAAGGAUAUUUUAGACAGUAUCAAAGUAAUAACGUGUAAGACAGGCUAAGGAAUCUAUAUCAUGUGCAGUCUCAUGUGCUAUUGAUCGAAUAUCCAAAAAGGAUUAAAAAUUGUGAUGCAUUCCAGCCAUCGUUCCGAUGAUAGAGUCAAUGCUCAUGGGCAUCCAUUUUC
rnacentral:lncRNA from 1 species